rnacentral:rRNA from 1 species
AACGAACGCUGGCGGCAUGCCUAACACAUGCAAGUCGAACGAGACCUUCGGGUCUAUUGGCGCACGGGUGCGUAACGCGUGGGAACCUGCCCUUAGGUUCGGAAUAACUCCCCGAAAGGGGUGCUAAUACCGGAUAAUGUCUUCGGACCAAAGACUUAUCGCCUUUGGAUGGGCCCUCGUUGGAUUAGCUAGUUGGUAGGGUAAAAGCCUACCAAGGCGACGAUCCAUAGCUGGUCUGAGAGGAUGAUCAGCCACACUGGGACUGAGACACGGCCCAGACUCCUCCGGGAGGCAGCAGUGGGGAAUAUUGGACAACGGGCGAAAGGCUGAUCCAGCAAUGCCGCGUGAGUGAUGAAGGCCUUAGGGUUGUAAAGCUCUUUUAACCGGGAUGAUAAUGACAGUACCGGGAGAAUAAGCUCCGGCUAACUACGUG